UUCUCAAACUUUAGAGAACUUAUAAAACUCAUCACGUUAUUACGUGUGCAUAAACUGAAGUUCAUGUUACAUGCCCACAUGGUUAUGGAAAAAUUACUGUGAGACUUGGGGUUGAGUAUAUAUGUUCGGUCAAUUGUUGGGACUUGGGAACUUAUAAAAGUGUCAAAUUUUCACAUCUAUUUUAUAGAAAGUGUUUAAAUAAAUGUACUUCAACUCUCAGCUGGAGCGUUUUAUGUCUCAGUUGUAAAAGUACUGUGUGCAUGUUUCCAAUUCUGUUUUAGCUGUAUUUGCUUUGUUUCAUUCUUGUAAAACUGUUGCUUGCAUCUAUCAUUGUUUCGUUGAAAGACAAUGACCAAUAAAGUGUUUGUAUGUUUUAUUCCUUACUGGUAAUCUUCAGAUGAAUUCUAGUUAUGUUUGAAUUGGAAGCUUUAAAGCUGAAAUUAUGAUUCUACCUCCGUUCACGUUUACUUAUCCACUUUGAACUUUUCACGCCUCUUAAGAAAUAAUAAUUGUAGUAUAUAUUGCCAUAUAUAAUCUUCAGAUGAAUUCUAGUUAUUUUUGAGUUGGAAGCUUUAAAGCUGAAAUUAUGAUUCUACCUCCGUUCACGUUUACUUAUCCACUUUGAACUUUUCACGUCCCUAAAGAAAUAAUAAUUGUAGUAUAUAUUUUACAAUAUAACCCAUAAUAUUGAUAGCAUUUCAAAAGUGCUGGGAAAUAAUUUUAAAAAUGAGGAAUUAAUGAUAGGGGUAAAAUAGGAAAGAAAAAUUAUCUUUCUCUUGAUUUAGCAUAGUGGGCAAGUAAAAGUAAAAAAGUAUAAUUGACAAGUAAAAGUGAACGGAGGGACUGGUAGUAUUAUACAAUCAAAUCUAUUUAUAACAGCCUCGUUUGUUCCGCAUAUUUUUGGAUGUUAUAGUGAAGUGCUAUUAUAUAGAAUAGAUAUUAUAACAUAACAUGAAAACUGAUUCCGGAAAAAGCUUGACUUUUAUAAUUAAGUAUUGUUAUAUAGGGAUACUAUUGCUAUUGAGAUGUCUGACUGUAAUGUUCCCAAAAUUAAGGUGGAUUAGUAAAUACUGAGUAAGCAUUACAUUCACCUUAAUGUUUUUAAUGCAGAAUUUGGAUAUUUAAUUAAUAGCGGAUAGAUUCUACACUUUAUUAGUUGAAUAUGUGUAUAUAAAUUACACGUACGCCUGGGUUAGUGCCUGUUCAAUUUCCAAGGUGUAUCAAAACCGAGAAGACCCCGUCCCCUAGCCUUUGCCACUGUAUCAAAGUGUAAUUGGGCUUUAAUUAGGCUUUGUGUUUAGUUUGUUUGAAUCAGAUGAGUCUUAAGGUGGGUGUGAUUCUUUCUUUAGUUUGGUAAUCAUGUGUCUAUAGCAUUGUGAUUUCUGGGCAUAUCAGUCCAUUGCAUCUCUUUGAAUAUCGAAGUUUAAUUACAACACAUCAGUUACUUUUGUUGAAAAGAUUCUUCCCUGAACUUGGAAUACAAGUACAUCAAUAAUAGACAGAGCACUAGAAGUGCGCUAUUUCACUACCAAAGACAGGUCAUAGUGAAGAAAAUAUAAACAAACUGAAAUACAAACACUGGAAUUCAUCAUAUUGUUUCCCAUUACUAGAAGUACCGAAGAACUAGUCACUAGUAGCUUAUGGGUAUCGAUUUUUACAAAAGAGAUGGUGAAGUAGUUUUUCCCCAUUAGAAGUACUUAUACAUUGUCUAUACAUUAUGAUUCCUUGUGUUUCACUUUAAAGUUUGAGAAAUAAAGAUACUUGCAUAAAUUUUCUUUAAUAACGUUUAUUUUUAUAAUAAUUGCAAUUUGUUUUAUAGGAUACUUUCAAAAGAAGCUUGGAGUUCAUUCAAAGUUAGCCCAUUGAUGAUCAAGGUUAGGCCAAUCCAACCAUCCUAAGAGGAGAUCAUGGACUUGUGGAUUAAAGCAGCUUGUGGCAUGCAUAAAGGGAGAGUCUGUGGCCUUGAAUAAGAGUUUAGUCUCGGUCAUAGUACUUCUGGAUUGUCUAGUUUUUAUUUGCUUGUCUUAGAUGGUACCUAGAUGUUGAAUAUUGUACGCUAGUCUUAUGAGUUAUCGUUCUACUUUUUGAUUAGCUGGACAUUAAUUAUGAAAUGAAUUAAUUAGUUGUUAUUUAUGAAAUAAAUUGGAUUGUAUGUUGAAUUUGGUAUUUUAAUACUUAAUUGUAUUUUAUCUUGUAUUGUUGGUUGUACUUUCUGUUUGGCAGAUAUAAUUCUAAUAACAUAUUUGGCUAUGAAAAUAUUUUUCAGAUUUCC
rnacentral:lncRNA from 1 species